GCCUCGGUAGCUCAGUGGUAGAGCGGCUGCCUCGUAAGCAGCAGGUCGCGAGUUCAAAUCUCGUCCGGGGCU
rnacentral:tRNA from 1 species